rnacentral:hammerhead_ribozyme from 1 species
GCACUGCUGACGAGUCCCGAACAGGACGAAACAGCUGUGUAGUGC